UACGGAGGGUGCAAGCGUUAUCCGGAUUCACUGGGUUUAAAGGGUGCGUAGGUGGGUCUGUAAGUCAGUGGUGAAAUCCCCGAGCUUAACUUGGGAACUGCCGUUGAUACUAUAGAUCUUGAAUAUCGUGGAGGUAAGCGGAAUAUGUCAUGUAGCGGUGAAAUGCUUAGAUAUGACAUAGAACACCAAUUGCGAAGGCAGCUUACUACACGAUCAUUGACACUGAGGCACGAAAGCGCGGGGAGCAAACAGG
rnacentral:rRNA from 1 species